rnacentral:rRNA from 1 species
CUACGGGGGGCUGCAGUGGGGAAUAUUGGACAAUGGGCGCAAGCCUGAUCCAGCCAUGCCGCGUGAGUGAUGAAGGCCUUAGGGUUGUAAAGCUCUUUUAUCCGGGACGAUAAUGACGGUACCGGAGGAAUAAGCCCCGGCUAACUUCGUGCCAGCAGCCGCGGUAAUACGAAGGGGGCUAGCGUUGCUCGGAAUCACUGGGCGUAAAGGGCGCGUAGGCGGCGGUUUAAGUCGGGGGUGAAAGCCUGUGGCUCAACCACAGAAUGGCCUUCGAUACUGGGGCGCUUGAGUAUGGUAGAGGUUGGUGGAACUGCGAGUGUAGAGGUGAAAUUCGUAGAUAUUCGCAAGAACACCGGUGGCGAAGGCGGCCAACUGGACCAUCACUGACGCUGAGGCGCGAAAGCGUGGGGAGCAAACAGGAUUAGAUACCCGAGUAGUC